rnacentral:rRNA from 1 species
GACGAACGCUGGCGGCAUGCCUAACACAUGCAAGUCGAACGGAGCUAUAUAACGGAAGUUUUCGGAUGGAAGAUUUAUAUCUUAGUGGCGGACGGGUGAGUAACGCGUGAGCAACCUGCCUUUCAGUGGGGGACAACAGUUGGAAACGACUGCUAAUACCGCAUAACAUAUCGGGAUCGCAUGGUUCUGAUAUCAAAGAUUUAUCGCUGAAAGAUGGGCUCGCGUCUGAUUAGCUAGUUGGUGAGGUAACGGCUCACCAAGGCGACGAUCAGUAGCCGGACUGAGAGGUUGAACGGCCACAUUGGGACUGAGAUACGGCCCAGACUCCUACGGGAGGCAGCAGUGAGGAAUAUUGCACAAUGGGCGAAAGCCUGAUGCAGCAAUGCCGCGUGAAGGAAGAAGGUUUUCGGAUUGUAAACUUCUCUUCUGGAGAAAGAUAAUGACGGUACUCCAGGAAUAAGCCACGGCUAACUACGUGCCAGCAGCCGCGGUAACAC